rnacentral:rRNA from 1 species
GACGAACGCUGGCGGCAUGCCUAAUACAUGCAAGUCGAACGCAGUGGGGACGGGUGAGUAACACGUGGGUAACCUCCCAUCAGAGGGGAUAACACUUGGAAACAGGCGCUAAACCGACAUUGAUGGAUGGACCCGCGGUGCAUUAGCUAGUUGGUGAGGUAACGGCUCACCAAGGCCACGAUGCAUAGCCGGCCUGUGAGGUGGAUCAGUCACACUGGCACUGAGACACGACCCAGAAUCAUACGGGAGGCAGCAGUAGGGAAACUUCGGCAAUGGACGAAAGUCUGACCCAGAAACACCGCGUGAGUGAAGAAGGUUUUCGGAUCGUAAAACACUGUUAUUAGAGAAGCGGUAUCUAACCAGAAAGCCACGGCUAACUACGUGCCAGCCGCCGCGGUAAUAC